rnacentral:rRNA from 1 species
AACCUGCCCAAGAGAUCGGGAUAACACCUGGAAACAGAUGCUAAUACCGGAUAACAACAGAUGAUGCCUAUCAACUGUUUAAAAGAUGGUUCUGCUAUCACUCUUGGAUGGACCUGCGGUGCAUUAGCUAGUUGGUAGGGUAACGGCCUACCAAGGCGAUGAUGCAUAGCCGAGUUGAGAGACUGAUGGCCACAUUGGGACUGAGACACGGCCCAAACUCCUACGGGAGGCAGCAGU